GACGAACGCUGGCGGCGUGCCUAAUACAUGCAAGUAGAACGAGUGGCGGACGGGUGAGUAAUGUCUGGGAAACUGCCCGAUGGAGGGGGAUAACUACUGGAAACGGUAGCUAAUACCGCAUACCCUCGGAUGUGCCCAGAUGGGAUUAGCUAGUAGGUGGGGUAACGGCGCACCUAGGCGACGAUCCCUAGCUGGUCUGAGAGGAUGACCAGCCACACUGGAACUGAGACAAGGUCCAGACUCCUACGGGAGGCAGCAGUGGGGAAUAUUGCACAAUGGGCGAAAGCCUGAUGCAGCCAUGCCGCGUGUAUGAAGAAGGCCUUCGGGGUGUAAAGUACUGUCAGCGAGGAGGCGUUACUCGCAGAAGAAGCACCGGCUAACUCCGUGCCAGCCGCCGCGGUAAUAC
rnacentral:rRNA from 1 species